AAAAUUAAAAAAAAAAAAAAAGAAUUGUUUUGGGUAUCAAUAUAAAAAAAUCAAGCCUCCCUUGCCCGGAGCCAGGGGUAGGGAGGAUCCACCCGUGGCUGUGGCUCUCUUCACGUCCGUGUCACUUUGUCUCUGGGCCGUCUGUGCCAGAUUCUGGGAGAUGCCACCCAAGGUCAAGCAUCGCUCCUCUCCUGGGGAAGUAGCGGUCUAGCUAGGGAGGUCGAGUCAGCCUACCUGAGAGGCCACGGCACAGUAACCUGGGGUAGGCUACACGGCUGCCCAGAGCACACCACGGUACCAUGAGUAAUUCAGGCGAGUUUGAUUCAUGUUCUCUAUUAUACAAGCUCACGCCCAUUCCUACGCAUGCCGGUUGUGUACUUUGCCACAUCACGUGCCCCAGGGCAUGUCCUUUCCUCAGGAGACGUUGCUAGAGGCCCCUGGUCACGGAGGCUGUCCCCACGUGUUUCUCCAGCAGCUGCCAGCUCCCACAGCCAGCCGGGCAGAGCAGGGUCAGGGCAGCACUCAGCUGGGGACGGGGUGGGCAGUGCUGUCGGUCAGGGCUGUGUGGCCUGAUGGCAUAGCCCCAGGUCUUCCUCCUGGGAUCCGAUACCAAAGUGACUUCUCGGAGCAGAGCCCUGGGGAGCAGAGCGGACAGGGCGUUCUGCCUGGCAGGCCUACCGAGGAGGAGGCUGCUGUGCCCUCCAUGAGGACUCCCUGCCUGGCUCCUCUCCCACCAGCCCUUCCGCCCUCUGACCUAGCUGUGGCCUGGGUGAAGACUCGAAGAAUCAUGAGGUUCCCGGCAGGUUUCUCGGUCAAGCUGCCAGCGGUCUCAGCCAAGGCUAUCGGCGAGGGAAACGCAGCCGGGGAGGAGCCCCCAUGGCAGACGCCCUGGGCCAGUGGGAAGGAGCUCAGGGGAACGACCCGCCCCCCAGGCUGACCCAGGGAAACGAAGCCUGGCAGGCUGCAGACGCUGUAUUUCAGAGCCCUAGCAUGCCAGAGCAUCUCACCAGCCCAGGAGCAGACGAAUCAGUCUAAAUUCUGGCAUUUUCUGGGACAGGGCCCCAGACACUCCGCGCGCUUUACUGUGGACACUCGUGACAGCCUCAGGGCGUGAGGACCAGGAUGCCGAGGAGGAGUUUGCAGCUUGCCCCAAGUCCACAGCUGAAAAUGUAGGCUGCCCGAGCUGUCCGUGUAACCCAGGAGAACUGCCUUGCCCAGGUAACCCUGACCUGCUGUCCCCAGAAGCUGGCACCGUGUCUGUGCUGGUGGCCUGCUGUUCUCAUGGCAUGUCUCCCCUGCACUCUGUCCUCUGCCUCCUGCUCCGGUCCCCAACUCCACACUCCCUGAGAGAGACCUGCCAGGUCAGUGGGUUCUGGCCCACGCGGAACUCCUUCGAAGCAGAGUAUGCAAAUCACCUGCCACAGACCACACGUGCCUGGGCUCCUUUCUGCCCACCAGCUAGCAGCUCUCUUGGAGGGGGACAGUUGGCUAUGGUCAGGACAGUGGGCACAGUCACCAGAGGAGGCCCUGUGGGUGGGGCAGACACUACCAACUGCAGAAUGUCCCGUGCGGUUUCAAACGCGGCCCUCGGGGGUCGUUACUGAGGUGCUUCUCCUCCGACUCUGUCCAGCCGUCCAGUGACAUAACAGAACUCGCUAUAAAGUCAGCCCGGGGUUUGUGACUGCAGGCCAGCGUUCUGAAUUUCAGCUGGCUCAGGCUGCAGAAGCAGGAGGUGUGGAGAGCUCGCGUGUGGUGACAGCCAGGAAACUCCCUAGACAGCUUUCGGAAUGCAUUCCUCCUGGGUUGUUUGCCCUCGUUUUAAUGUGGAGGCAACAAGGAGCUGGAAAAGUCCCUGGCAGUGGGUCCCAGUGAACUCGGCAUCUUGCUACAAGCUGCAGAGGCAGCAGGCCCGGGGCAGGCGCGGCUCCUUUCCUGGGAAGCUGCAGCUGAGAGGCCUCCAGGGACUCCUCAGACACAGGGGACCCAGGUCAGCUCCUCCAUCAUCCCCCUUCCCAGGAGCCGCUUCUGCUGACAGAAGGACAGAGAGCAAUGUCCCAGGUCACUCCAGCCCUGUGACUCCCACACGCAGGCUGCGAAUCCACCCUUGGGCCUAUCAGAAAAGCCCAUCUGAGUUUGAUCCUUUGCUCGGGUAGAUUAGGGCCAUCGGCCUUGACAUCUGGGGCUGCUCAGCUGUUGUUAGAGGACGUCCAUGUUUUGGGCAGCGGAGGAGCAUGAGGAAGGAGCAAAGGACUAGAACACUCCACUGGGAGGGCACACUGACCGCACACGACACCGGCAGCUGGAGUCUGAGCCCCGGCGGCCGUCCCACAAAGGCUGCUGUGUGGCUCGAGACCAGGCACCACGCAGUGGCCGGGCCAUCCCUCCCGGGCUCGGCCCAGACUGCCAUGGGCACUGACCUUGGCUUUCCUUCAACUCAGGAGGUGCCGCGGGCAUGGCGCGGGGCUGGAUUCAAACCUUCUCCCACGGCCCAGGGCGUUGGGGUGGGGUUGCCAGACACACAGGACGUGGGUUUCAGGCCGCCAGGUCCUGGCAGCUCCUGUCUCCCCAAAUCAGGAGUGAGUCAAUGAGGAGUUGCCUCAGACCGCAGCAGCGACAGCUGCAGGACACCAGACCCAGACUUGUCCCUGCUCCGGGCGGGCCUCGGAUUGUAAGGGAAGUGUCUGUGGGUGGCCUUAUUUUGCUGAGAAAAACCUUUUUUUUGUUCACAUUCUCCUUUUACUAUUGCAGAAGAAAUAAGAUCCCCUCUACCAUUGGCCCACUGGACAUCAGCCUCACCUCCAACUGGGGGCUCUUCCAGGACGGCGUCUGGGCCACAAUGCGACGCUGGUCUUGCGCCCUGACCGUCAGGCUGCACGACUGACCACGCAGCCUGCAGGGGAUGGCGGGGGGGUGACUCUGAGAGUGGCAAGAGGAAGCCCCACAUCUCACGACUAAAUCCAACCCAGCCCCGGACUGGAGGGCCUAGCGACGAGCCGCUCAGCCGUGAGUGGACACGCUGUUCCCUGAGGGGACAUGCCCAGGCUCCCGGCCCCGUGCUGUCCCAAGGGGACUCUGAGGGUCCACGACUCGGAGGAGACCACUCAACACCUGGAUCUCCCCACCCUGAAGCCCACGUGCCCACAGGACCUUCAGGCCACGUGCAGGACAAGGGCAGCCCAGGGCUCUGGGUGUCCUCUGGCCCUCGCCGGAGAACCAGCCUCUCUCCCUUCUGCUCCUAAGGGAAGAGGCGGAGACGGGCUCCCUGGUCCAGAACUCCCGCCUUGUGGGGCUCCAGGACUUGCUCUUGAGGGUCUCUGCCAAGGAAAGACCCCAGCGCGCCGUUGGUCCCCCUCUCAAGCCUCAGGUCUCAGGCUGAGGGACUCCUCCAGGAUCAGAGAAGCAGGGAGUGGAGCACAGGGACCGGGUGCUCAGGGCGAACGUGUGUGAGGAAGCGCCUGGCUGGUCUCCGGGCUGGCCGCCCACCCAGACCCCCGUGUUGUUUCCCGAGGCCACUGUAAUGCAGCACCCCAGGCUGGGUGGCUCCCAGCCUGGAAAUUCACCGUCUCACAGGUGGAGGCCGGAGGUCCAGGGGAGGUGUGGGCAGGGCAGGUCCUGAGGCCUUGCCCCUUGCCGGUCCUGUCGCCUCUCCCUGUGUCUUUACAUCAUUCCCGCUCUGCAGGUGUCUGUCCAAACCCUCUUCUCACAAGGACACUCGCCACAUGGGAUCAGGGCCCACGAAUCCAGACGGCGACGCUUAACUUCACCUCUUCAAAGGCCCUGUCUCCAAACAGGGCCGCGUUCUAGGGGUUCUCCUCCCGCAGUCCCGCCCCGGCCCCUCUGCAGUCAGCAGGGAAGGCGUGCCUGCCCCAUCUCACAGGACGCGUGCACUCCCCCGAGACACAGGGAGGAAGAGAGGGAACGUGAGAACGCAAGCUGUGGAGUCUGGGGCGCGAAGUGCAGCUGGCCAGGUGGUCCCUUCUCUCCUGCUGGUCCCUAAGCCCGCUGGGGAGGGGAGAAAGACCUCACCUGCAAGCAUCACACCAAAUCGAGUGUGCCGGCACCUGCUGUCCGAGGUAAGCGCAGAGCUUCACCCCAGAGCAUUCUCGGCUGAACGAAGGCAGCUCUGUGUGCACCCAGCCCACCUGGCCGGUGCGGGCCAGCACCCAGCACAACACCUCGUGCUAGCAGGUGAGGAAACAGCCUGAGGAGGUCAAGCAGUUAGUCCGUGCUGGGCUCAAGGAAGGCUCAUCUGGGAGGCCUGGCAUGGUAGUUAAGGGCACUGUAUUUCCACAUGGUCGCACGCGGUU